AGGCGCGUAGCUCAGCUGGUUAGAGCACUUGGUCGACAUCCAAGGGGUCGUUGGUUCGAGUCCAAUCGUGCCUA
rfam:Gallionella sp. ShG14-8 contig00077, whole genome shotgun sequence.